rnacentral:rRNA from 1 species
GGUGAGUAACACGUGGGUAACCUACCUAUAAGACUGGGAUAACUUCGGGAAACCGGAGCUAAUACCAGAUGAUAUAUUGAACCGCAUGGUUCAAUAGUGAAAGACGGUUUUGCUGUCACUUAUAGAUGGAUCCGCGUCGCAUUAGCUAGUUGGUAAGGUAACGGCUUACCAAGGCAACGAUGCGUAGCCGACCUGAGAGGGUGAUCGGCCACACUGGAACUGAGACACGGUCCAG